rnacentral:rRNA from 1 species
UACAGGGGGUGCAAGCGUUAAUCGGAAUUACUGGGCGUAAAGCGUGCGUAGACGGUUAUGUAAGUCGGGUGUGAAAGCCCCGGGCUCAACCUGGGAAUGCCAUUCGAGACUGCAUAGCUAGGGUGCGGAAGAGGGAAGCGGAAUUUCCGGUGUAGCGGUGAAAUGCGUAGAUAUCGGGAGGAACACCAGUGGCGAAGGCGGCGAUCUGGGCAGAUACUGACGCUGAGGUGCGAAAGCGUGGGGAGCAAACAGG